UCUUCGGAUUGUAAAGCACUUUAAGUUGGGAGGAAGGGCAGUUACCUAAUACGUGAUUGUUUUGACGUUACCGACAGAAUAAGCACCGGCUAACUCUGUGCCAGCAGCCGCGGUAAUACAGAGGGUGCAAGCGUUAAUCGGAAUUACUGGGCGUAAAGCGCGCGUAGGUGGUUAGUUAAGUUGGAUGUGAAAUCCCCGGGCUCAACCUGGGAACUGCAUUCAAAACUGACUGACUAGAAGUAUGGUAGAGGGUGGUGGAAUUUCCUGUGUAGCGGUGAAAU
rnacentral:rRNA from 1 species